UAGCGCACUGCUCAGUAACACGUGGACAACCUGCCCUGAGGACUGGAAUAAUCCCGGGAAACUGGGGGUAAUUCCAGAUAUGUCAGAACUCCUGGAAUGGGUUCUGGCAGAAAGGCUCCGGCGCCUCAGGAUGGGUCUGCGGCCUAUCAGGGUAGUAGUGGGUGUAACGUACCUACUAGCCUACGACGGGUACGGGUUGUGAGAGCAAGAGCCCGGAGAUGGAUUCUGAGACAUGAAUCCAGGCCCUACGGGGUGCAGCAGGCGCGAAAACUUUACAAUGCGGGCAACCGCGAUAAGGGGACCUCGAGUGCUGGGUUACAAACCUGGCUGUUGGGCUGCCUAAAAAGCAGUCUAUAGCAAGGGCCGGGCAAGACCGGUGCCAGCCGCCGCGGUAACACCGGCGGCUCGAGUGGUAACCGCUAUUAUUGGGUCUAAAGGGUCUGUAGCCGGCCGACUAAGUCUCUUGGGAAAUCUGGCAUCUCAAGUGUCAGGCUGCCAGGGGAUACUGGUCGGCUUGGGACCGGGAGAGGUGAGAGGUACCUCGGGGGUAGGGGUGAAAUCUUGUAAUCCUCGAGGGACCACCAGUGGCGAAGGCGUCUC
rnacentral:rRNA from 1 species